AGCAGUAGGGAAUAUUGGGCAAUGGGCGAGAGCCUGACCCAGCCAUGCCGCGUGCCGGAUGAAGGCCUUCUGGGUUGUAAACGGCUUUUCUCAGGGAAGAAAAAGACCAUGCGUGGUACACUGACGGUACCUGAGGAAUAAGCACCGGCUAACUCCGUGCCAGCAGCCGCGGUAAUACGGAGGGUGCAAGCGUUGUCCGGAUUUAUUGGGUUUAAAGGGUGCGUAGGCGGCCCGUUAAGUCCGGGGUGAAAGCCCACAGCUCAACUGUGGAACUGCCCUGGAUACUGGCGGGCUUGAGUCCAGACGAGGUUGGCGGAAUGGAAGGUGUAGCGGUGAAAUGCAUAGAUACCUUCCAGAACCCCGAUUGCGUAGGCAGCUGACUAGGCUGGUACUGACGCUGAGGCACGAAAGCGUGGGGAGCGAACAGGAUUAGAUACCCUGGUAGUCCACGCCGUAAACGAUGGAUACUCGCUGGUGGCGAUAGACAGUCACUGGCUUAGCGAAAGCGGUAA
rnacentral:rRNA from 1 species